AUUGAACGCUGGCGGCAGGCCUAACACAUGCAAGUCGAGCGGAGCGGCGGACGGGUGAGUAAUGCCUAGGAAUCUGCCUGGUCGUGGGGGAUAACGUCCGGCAACGGGCGCUAAUACCGCAUACUAUCAGAUGAGCCUAGGUCGGAUUAGAUAGUUGGUGGGGUAAAGGCUUACCAAGGUGACGAUCCAUACCUGGUCUGAGAGGAUGAUCAGUCACACUGGAACUGAGACACGGUCCAGACUCCUACGGGAGGCAGCAGUGGGGAAGAUUGGACAAUGGGCGAAAGCCUGAUCCAGCCAUGCCGCGUGUGUGAAGAAGGUCUUCGGGUUGUAAAGCACUUUCAGUUGGGAGGCGUUACCGACAGAAUAAGCACCGGCUAACUUCGUGCCAGCAGCCGCGGUAAUAC
rnacentral:rRNA from 1 species